UAUUGGUCAAUGGGCUUACGCCUGAACCAGCCAAGUCGCGUGAGGGAAGACUGCCCUAUGGGUUGUAAACCUCUUUUGUCAGGGAGCAAUUGGCGCUACGUGUAGCGUUAUCGAGAGUACCUGAAGAAAAAGCAUCGGCUAACUCCGUGCCAGCAGCCGCGGUAAUACGGAGGAUGCGAGCGUUAUCCGGAUUUAUUGGGUUUAAAGGAUGCGCAGGCGGAGGCACAAGUCAGCGGUAAAAUCGCGGGGCUCAACCCCGCUCCGCCGUUGAAACUGUGUCCCUUGAGUGCGCGAAGGGUAGGCGGAAUGCGUGGUGUAGCGGUGAAAUGCAUAGAUAUCACGCAGAACUCCGAUCGCGAAGGCAGCCUACCGGCGCGCAACUGACGCUCAUGCACGAAAGCGUGGGUAUCG
rnacentral:rRNA from 1 species